AUUGAACGCUGGCGGCAGGCUUAACACAUGCAAGUCGAGCGGGGUGAUGGUGCUUGCACUAUCACUUAGCGGCGGACGGGUGAGUAAUGCUUAGGAAUCUGCCUAUUAGUGGGGGACAACAUCUCGAAAGGGAUGCUAAUACCGCAUACGUCCUACGGGAGAAAGCAGGGGAUCACUUGUGACCUUGCGCUAAUCGAUGAGCCUAAGUCGGAUUAGCUAGUUGGUGGGGUAAAGGCCUACCAAGGCGACGAUCUGUAGCGGGUCUGAGAGGAUGAUCCGCCACACUGGGACUGAGACACGGCCCAGACUCCUACGGGAGGCAGCAGUGGGGAAUAUUGGACAAUGGGGGGAACCCUGAUCCAGCCAUGCAGCGUGUGUGAAGAAGGCCUUAUGGUUGUAAAGCACUUUAAGCGAGGAGGAGGCUUACCUAGUUAAUGCCUGGGAUAAGUGGACGUUACUCGCAGAAUAAGCACCGGCUAACUCUGUGCCAGCCGCCGCCGUAAUAC
rnacentral:rRNA from 1 species